rnacentral:tRNA from 1 species
GCUCCAUUGGACAAAUCGGUUAAGUCGCUACCCUUUCAAGGUAGAGAUUGCCAGUUCGAAUCUGGUAUGGAGUA